GAUGAAGAACGUAGCGAAAUGCGAUAAGUAGUGUGAAUUGCAGAAUUCAGUGAAUCAUCGAAUCUUUGAACGCACAUUGCGCCCUUUGGUAUUCCAAAGGGCAUGCCUGUUCGAGCGUCAUUUGUAUCCUCAAGCUUUGCUUGGUGUUGGGCGUCUUGUCUCUAGCUUUGCUGGAGACUCGCCUUAAAGUAAUUGGCAGCCGGCCUACUGGUUUCGGAGCGCAGCACAAGUCGCACUCUCUAUCAGCAAAGGUCUAGCAUCCAUUAAGCCUUUUUUUCAACUUUUGACCUCGGAUCAGGUAGGGAUACCCGCUGAACUUAAGCAUAUCAAUAAGCGGAGGA
rnacentral:misc_RNA from 1 species